GAUGAACGCUGGCGGCGUGCCUAAUACAUGCAAGUCGAGCGAACAGACGAGGAGCUUGCUCCUCUGACGUUAGCGGCGGACGGGUGAGUAACACGUGGAUAACCUACCUAUAAGACUGGGAUAACUUCGGGAAACCGGAGCUAAUACCGGAUAAUAUAUUGAACCGCAUGGUUCAAUAGUGAAAGACGGUUUUGCUGUCACUUAUAGAUGGAUCCGCGCCGCAUUAGCUAGUUGGUAAGGUAACGGCUUACCAAGGCAACGAUGCGUAGCCGACCUGAGAGGGGGAUCGGCCACACGGGAGCGGAGACGCGGUCCAGGCUCCUACGGGAGGCAGCAGUAGGGAACCUUCCGCAAUGGGCGAAAGCCUGACGGAGCAACGCCGCGUGAGUGAUGAAGGUCUUCGGAUCGUAAAACUCUGUUAUUAGGGAAGAACAAAUGUGUAAGUAACUAUGCACGUCUUGACGGUACCUAAUCAGAAAGCCACGGCUAACUACGUG
rnacentral:rRNA from 1 species